CGGCGUCGAGCGGCGGACGGGUGAGUAAUGCCUAGGAAAUUGCCCUGAUGUGGGGGAUAACCAUUGGAAACGAUGGCUAAUACCGCAUGAUGCCUACGGGCCAAAGAGGGGGACCUUCGGGCCUCUCGCGUCAGGAUAUGCCUAGGUGGGAUUAGCUAGUUGGUGAGGUAAGGGCUCACCAAGGCGACGAUCCCUAGCUGGUCUGAGAGGAUGAUCAGCCACACUGGAACUGAGACACGGUCCAGACUCCUACGGGAGGCAGCAGUGGGGAAUAUUGCACAAUGGGCGCAAGCCUGAUGCAGCCAUGCCGCGUGUGUGAAGAAGGCCUUCGGGUUGUAAAGCACUUUCAGUCGUGAGGAAGGUAGUGUAGUUAAUAGCUGCAUUAUUUGACGUUAGCGACAGAAGAAGCACCGGCUAACUCCGUGCCAGCAGCCGCGGUAAUACGGAGGGUGCGAGCGUUAAUCGGAAUUACUGGGCGUAAAGCGCAUGCAGGUGGUUUGUUAAGUCAGAUGUGAAAGCCCGGGGCUCAACCUCGGAAUUGCAUUUGAAACUGGCAGACUAGAGUACUGUAGAGGGGGGUAGAAUUUCAGGUGUAGCGGUGAAAUGCGUAGAGAUCUGAAGGAAUACCGGUGGCGAAGGCGGCCCCCUGGACAGAUACUGACACUCAGAUGCGAAAGCGUGGGGAGCAAACAGGAUUAGAUACCCUGGUAGUCCACGCCGUAAACGAUGUCUACUUGGAGGUUGUGGCCUUGAGCCGUGGCUUUCGGAGCUAACGCGUUAAGUAGACCGCCUGGGGAGUACGGUCGCAAGAUUAAAACUCAAAUGAAUUGACGGGGGCCCGCACAAGCGGUGGAGCAUGUGGUUUAAUUCGAUGCAACGCGAAGAACCUUACCUACUCUUGACAUCCAGAGAACUUUCCAGAGAUGGAUUGGUGCCUUCGGGAACUCUGAGACAGGUGCUGCAUGGCUGUCGUCAGCUCGUGUUGUGAAAUGUUGGGUUAAGUCCCGCAACGAGCGCAACCCUUAUCCUUGUUUGCCAGCGAGUAAUGUCGGGAACUCCAGGGAGACUGCCGGUGAUAAACCGGAGGAAGGUGGGGACGACGUCA
rnacentral:rRNA from 1 species